CAUUAUUUCACUUAUUGCAAGACAUUUUCCCCAGGCUGGAAGUUGGAAAUGUCUUAAUUAGCUUUAAAAAGUUCUAUAGUAUUAAUUUAUCUGUAUUUUAUUUUGAAAGAGAAUUUUGAGAUAUUAGUGCAUUGUGGGUAGCAGAGGCAGUUGCAGUUUGGAAUGAAUACCUGUUCAGAGAGAGAAAGCCUGUUAAUGUAUGAACUCCACCUCCUGUGUUCUUACACCUCCGAAAACAACGGCUAACCUGGAUCCAGUAACAGAGCGAUCUUCAGCCUCSUUCAGUGCAGCUGACGCUUCCUGGCAGCGAAUUUGACGGAGCAGUCAGUCACAUUGUUCAGCUGUCACACACUCCAGGACGUCGUCGGCACAAAACUGAAAAUGUAUGAAGGAUGCAUAAAGAAAAACUGUGGCUAAUGCAUCUGCAGGAAAAAGCUUGAGAAUGGCUUGAUGGACUGAGACGAGCCACGGCAGACUUUUCAGGAAACAGCUCAAUUUUACCCAGGCAGGCUGGAGCUGAUGGGGGGUGUAAAGUUUGAUUACAAUCACGGCUGCUGACAAGAUGCGAGGAGAUGGACGUAAACAAGGACAUUAAACUGAAACRUUAUUGAGCUUGUGGCUGUAUGUUACACAGCCUUCGUUUAAGUUCCUGCUAUACUUCUGCUACUUAAGUGGUUUAAUGACUGUACGGAAARUCUCAGGAGAAAGCCAUGCAUGACAACAGAGAUUUAUUUCGUCAGAGCUGCAGCUGCAAUUAGUCACAGCUGAAUGUUUUCUGUUCCCUCAGAURAUCUCGAAAUCGUUGACAUUUARUGUCAGCUCCCGUACAUUUUCCUCCGAGUGUUUGGAGAAAGCGAAGGCAGGAGCCGGAGCCACCGGAGGGAGGAGGAAGGUAGGCGUAAUCAGUCUAAACACCAGCUAAUUAGUGCAGCGCUCGUAUUUUUUUUGUCAGGUGGGUGUAAGAACGAGGCAACUGAAGUGAAGUCAACAACCAAAGCAGCUACAUGGAGGUAUGGUUGGAGGCUUUAUGAAACCUGUAAGAAAUUAAUUAUAAAAAUGA